rnacentral:tRNA from 1 species
AUUUAAAUAGUUUAAUUAAAACAUUGGUUUGUGGGAUCAAGGAUAAAGGCUUCUUUUUUUAAAUA